rnacentral:rRNA from 1 species
ACGGUGGAUGCCCUGGCAGUCAGAGGCGAUGAAGGGCGUGCUAAUCUGCGAUAAGCGCCGGUAAGGUGAUAUGAACCGUUAUAACCGGCGAUACCCGAAUGGGGAAACCCAGUGUGACUCGUCACACUAUCAUUAACUGAAUCCAUAGGUUAAUGAGGCGAACCGGGGGAACUGAAACAUCUAAGUACCCCGAGGAAAAGAAAUCAACCGAGAUUCCCCCAGUAGCGGCGAGCGAACGGGGAGGAGCCCAGAGCCUGAAUCAGCAUGUGUGUUAGUGGAAGCGUCUGGAAAGGCGCGCGAUACAGGGUGACAGCCCCGUACACAAAAGCGCAUGUGCUGUGAGCUCGAUGAGUAGGGCGGGACACGUGGUAUCCUGUCUGAAUAUGGGGGGACCAUCCUCCAAGGCUAAAUACUCCUGACUGACCGAUAGUGAACCAGUACCGUGAGGGAAAGGCGAAAAGAACCCCGGCGAGGGGAGUGAAAAAGAACCUGAAACCGUGUACGUACAAGCAGUGGGAGCACCCUUUGGGUGUGACUGCGUACCUUUUGUAUAAUGGGUCAGCGACUUAUAUUCUGUAGCAAGGUUAACCGAAUAGGGGAGCCGGAGGGAAACCGAGUCUUAAUUGGGCGUUAAGUUGCAGGGUAUAGACCCGAAACCCGGUGAUCUAGCCAUGGGCAGGUUGAAGGUUGGGUAACACUAACUGGAGGACCGAACCGACUAAUGUUGAAAAAUUAGCGGAUGACCUGUGGCUGGGGGUGAAAGGCCAAUCAAACCGGGAGAUAGCUGGUUCUCCCCGAAAGCUAUUUAGGUAGCGCCUCGUGAAUUCAUCUCCGGGGGUAGAGCACUGUUUCGGCUAGGGGGCCAUCCCGGCUUACCAACCCGAUGCAAACUGCGAAUACCGGAGAAUGUUAUCACGGGAGACACACGGCGGGUGCUAACGUCCGUCGUGAAGAGGGAAACAACCCAGACCGCCAGCUAAGGUCCCAAAGUCAUGGUUAAGUGGGAAACGAUGUGGGAAGGCCCAGACAGCCAGGAUGUUGGCUUAGAAGCAGCCAUCAUUUAAAGAAAGCGUAAUAGCUCACUGGUCGAGUCGGCCUGCGCGGAAGAUGUAACGGGGCUAAACCAUGCACCGAAGCUGCGGCAGCGACGCUUAUGCGUUGUUGGGUAGGGGAGCGUUCUGUAAGCCUGCGAAGGUGGCCUGUGAGGGUUGCUGGAGGUAUCAGAAGUGCGAAUGCUGACAUAAGUAACGAUAAAGCGGGUGAAAAGCCCGCUCGCCGGAAGACCAAGGGUUCCUGUCCAACGUUAAUCGGGGCAGGGUGAGUCGACCCCUAAGGCGAGGCCGAAAGGCGUAGUCGAUGGGAAACGGGUUAAUAUUCCCGUACUUGGUGUUACUGCGAAGGGGGGACGGAGAAGGCUAUGUUGGCCGGGCGACGGUUGUCCCGGUUUAAGCGUGUAGGUGUGUGUUCCAGGUAAAUCCGGUUCACUUUAACACUGAGGCGUGA